rnacentral:rRNA from 1 species
GAGUAGUACGUAGGUAACCUGCCUUCGAGAUCGGGAUAACCUUCCGAAAGGAGGGCUAAUACUGGAUGAGACCACAGAGCUUCGGUUCCGUGGUCAAAGGUGGCCUCUGCUCGCAAGCUACCACUCGAAGAUGGGCCUGCGCACCAUUAGCUAGUUGGUGAGGUAACGGCUCACCAAGGCGAAGAUGGUUAGCUGAUCUGAGAGGAUGAUCAGCCACACUGGGACUGAGACACGGCCCAGACUCCUACGGGAGGCAGCAGUGGGGAAUUGUUCGCAAUGGGCGCAAGCCUGACGACGCAACGCCGCGUGGAGGAUGAAGAUCUUCGGGUCGUAAACUCCUUUCGAUCGAGACGAACGACUUCCGGGCUAAUCACCGGGAGAGUGACGGUACCGAGAGAAGAAGCCCCGGCUAACUCCGUG